GGCACAUCAUUCCCCCUCAAUCGAUCAAUCGUAUUCUCUUUCUCCUUGCGCCGACGCAACCAUCGCCGUGAAACUGGUGGGAUCAAGUAUCUACCGCGCUGGCGUCCAGGUUGAUACGGAGCAUCCACCUUGGGGAGUAGCCUCGGGAAACUUUGACAUUGCCAACAAUGAGGUAACGGUACUCCGGCGCCGGCAAUGAGAUUUGGGACAGGUUCGGAUCAAGGAAGUGUCCGGCUGUUUGAUAUCAAAACCUGGAACUAGCUUCAAGUAUAUGAGCAACCAAAUGGUAGUGAUGAGGUGUCUCAUGUAACUUCAAUUGCAUUUUCCAUCUCGGGCCGGCUUCUUUUUGCUGGAUAUAAAGAUGGGGAUUGCUAUGUAUGGAGACACUCUGUUAGCACAAGUACACACAGAUAGGCAUUCUUGACAUACUGUUUUAUUAUCUUUGAGUGUGUUUGUUUGUUUUUUGUUUAUAUGUAAAUAUAUUAUUAGGAGAUGAGACGGGUUUGGUUUACUUUUAAUAACACACAGUUUUCAAUUUGGGAUUUCUUCAAAGUUCACAUGAUGGUCGGAUGAGUUGUGUGGGAUUAACUUCUGACUUGAUUGGGUUGUGCACAAGAAGUUGGGACACCAAUCUUAAGAUUUUGGCGUUUGGAGGGUACCGCAGAGUUAUCUGAAAGAGAAGAGAAGAGGGAGAAGGUGAGGUGAGGCAUAUGAAGGGAUUGGGACUGUAUAUUCCAGUAAAGUGAUGAAGGUUCUGACUAAUGAAAUUUCUCGUUUUCAAUCGUGCAGCUUCUUCAUUGACCUGGUUCUUGGAUACUUUUGCCAGGGAUUCAAUUCCACUUUACUCUCCUUCUGUUGGUAAUUGCAGCUCAUGCGCCACCCCUGAAGCAUAUCAAUCGAUUCCUUAAUGUUCUGCCCCCGUUUGCCUUAUGGAUUGGAUGCCGUAGAUGUGUUUGGAUGGUAGGUUGUUACGGCUAUGUGUAAUACCUAUGGAAUAGAUGCAUAAACAUUUGGAAUUAUCUUUUGUGUGGUGAGAAUUGUUGCAAUGGAUUGAUGGAUUUCCCCACUUGCUUAUUACUAGGUUGGAUGUUUAAAAUGCUUGCAUUUUGCGGAACAUAAUGUCGAAGUGAAGAUGUUGCUAGGCUUGUUUGAUGGGUUACUUUAUUUUGUUGUUUGGCGGUGGACAUCGUCUAGUAAAUAUUGCUAUGUUAAUAUCCUAUGUUGGGAUUCCCUUAUAGUGUUUAUUGUUUGCAAUUAUGGCCAAUCGUAAUUUUUAUAGCA